rnacentral:rRNA from 1 species
UACGUAGGGGGCGAGCGUUGUCCGGAUUUAUUGGGCGUAAAGAGCGUGUAGGCGGUUCGGUAAGUCUGUCGUGAAAUCCUAAGGCUCAACCUUGGGCGUGCGAUGGAUACUGUCGGGCUAGAGUCCGGAAGAGGAGAGUGGAAUUCCCGGUGUAGCGGUGAAAUGCGCAGAUAUCGGGAAGAACGCCGGCGGCGAAAGCGACUCUCUGGUCGGAUCCUGACGCUGAGGUGCGAAAGCUAGGGGAGCAAACGGG